rnacentral:rRNA from 1 species
CACGUUGGAACCUGCCCCAAAGUGAGGAAUAAGCCACCGAAAAGGUGGUCUAAUACUUCAUAAUAUCCAUCUCGUAUGGAUUAAAGCUUUAUGCGCUUUGGGAGGGGCCUGCGUAACAUUAGCUAGUUGGUGAGGUAAAAGCUCACCAAGGCUUCGAUGUUUAACUGGUUUGAGAGGAUGACCAGUCACACUGGGACUGAGAUACGGCCCAGACUCCUACGGGAGGCAGCAGUAAGGAAUCUUCCACAAUGGGGCAACCCUGAUGGAGCAAUACCGCGUGCAGGAUGAAGCGUUUCGGCGUGUAAACUGCUUUUAUCACCGAAGAUUAUGACUGUAGGUGAAGAAUAAGGACCGGCUAACUACGUG